rnacentral:rRNA from 1 species
GCUGGCGGCGUGCUUAACACAUGCAAGUCGUACGAGUAACACCUUAGCUUGCUAGGGUAAGUAAAGUGGCGCACGGGUGAGUAACGCGUGGGUAAUCUACCUUCGAAUUGGGGAUAACGUUGCGAAAGCGACGCUAAUACCGAAUAACAUCCAUUAAUCUUCGGAUUUUUGGAUCAAGGGUGGCCUCUACAUGUAAGCUACUGUUUGAAGAUGAGCCCGCGUACCAUUAGCUUGUUGGUGGGGUAACGGCCUACCAAGGCGUCGAUGGUUAGCUGGUCUGAGAGGAUGAUCAGCCACACUGGAACUGACACACGGUCCAGACUCCUACGGGAGGCAGCAGUGAGGAAUUUUGCGCAAUGGGGGAAACCCUGACGCAGCAACGCCGCGUGAGUGAUGAAGGCUUUCGGGUCGUAAAGCUCUGUCAAGUGGGAAGAACCUGCAGUAUGCCAACAUCAUAUUGCACUGACGGUACCACUGAAGGAAGCACCGGCUAACUCCGUGCCAGCAGCCGCGGUAAUACGGGGGGUGCAAGCGUUAUUCGGAAUCAUUGGGCGUAAAGAGCACGUAGGCGGCCUGGUAAGUCAGAUGUGAAAGCCCGGGGCUUAACCCCGGAAGUGCAUUUGAUCUG